AAGUCGUAACAAGGUUUCCGUAGGUGAACCUGCGGAAGGAUCAUUACCGAGUGCGGGCCCUCGUGGCCCAACCUCCCACCCUUGUCUCUAUACACCUGUUGCUUUGGCGGGCCCACCGGGGUCACCUGGUCGCCGGGGGACAAUCUGUCCCCGGGCCCGCGCCCGCCGAAGCGCUCUGUGAACCCUGAUGAAGAUGGGCUGUCUGAGUACUAUGAAAAUUGUCAAAACUUUCAACAAUGGAUCUCUUGGUUCCGGCAUCGAUGAAGAACGCAGCGAAAUGCGAUAAGUAAUGUGAAUUGCAGAAUUCCGUGAAUCAUCGAAUCUUUGAACGCACAUUGCGCCCCCUGGCAUUCCGGGGGGCAUGCCUGUCCGAGCGUCAUUUCUGCCCUCAAGCACGGCUUGUGUGUUGGGUGCGGUCCCCCCGGGGACCUGCCCGAAAGGCAGCGGCGACGUCCGUCUGGUCCUCGAGCGUAUGGGGCUUUGUCACUCGCUCGGGAAGGGCUGGCGGGGGUUGGUCACCACCAAAAUUUUACCACGGUUGACCUCGGAUCAGGUAGGAGUUACCCGCUGAACUUAAGCAUAUCAAUAAGCGGAGGA
rnacentral:misc_RNA from 1 species